CGCAUACCUGUUGACCCGGCCAUAUAAAGUUUUCCUUUGAUUUCCACCAACAUAGAACGCAACAUCAAGGUCUACCUCUUCAAAUGGUCGUCUUCACGGCGUCUUCACGCCCGGUCGAAACGACAACGGCAACUGCAGCAAAAAGACAUUUGCUCGAUCCAAUAUCUUCACGGAAUAGAUGCAUCUUCAGCCUGGUACUGCCUCCGUACGAUUCUCUACAAUUCCAGUUCUUUUUUUUUUGCUGGAUAAAGCCACGCCAAAUCGUUCUUGCUUGCACAAGAUGAUGCCACGUCAAGCCGCGAGGACGGAGGAUUAAUUAUGGCCAUCCAUGUCCCUUUCAUCAUUUCAAAUUUUGGCCAAGAAAUUCAUUUUAUUCAUCAGAGCGGUUCUUUAGGUGCAGAGAAUUUUGAAUUUUGAAUCCUGGGGAAUGCCUUUUCUACCCUUUUCCCUCCAAUCCCAAAACCCUAAUUUUUCAACUAUAAGUAAUCUUUUCCAUUCAGUUGGGGGGGGGGGGUUCUUCUUGGAGAUUUUUUUUAUCUCAAGCAUAGAAAUUACACAGGUAAAUAACCAAAAGGCAUACCAGAAUACCUUUCGAAAAGAAGGAAGAGUUAAAUCCCGAUCUUUAGCUUGGGGUGUGUUUAAGUUGCUGUCUAGGUUCCUCGAUUACCGUCCAUUUUGCGUUUGGUGUGAUAGUUGUUGCCCUAUUCAGCUCGUCGUUGUCCUAGUUCCUGCCUCGAAAAGGUUAACUUACUUAUCCCUUGCUAGUUCCCUUUUGCAUCCUAUUCGAUCGUUUGAAGUUCUCUAUUUGAUUGUGUGACAUUAGUUUGAUUUUUGUUCGAUUUAUUAAUGGGAUACAGAGUUAUUAUUUUAACAUACAUGGCCAAAUGAUAAUCCUUUGUUGAUAAGCAUGCUAUUGUAUUAUUAAUAUUGUUGGAGCUGUUUUUUUUUCUAUCCUUUUCUUUCGGUUAUUUAUCUCAGUCUACUGUUGAUUUUUUAUAUAUAUUUUUUUUAUUUAUGCUCGUUUGAGUAGCUGUUAGUAUUUCUCUUGUUCCCGUUGUUCAUCAUUUGCUAUAGGUACUCCCAGCGUUCUUGGUACUUUCGGUAGUGUCUCCAUCUUGUCUCAUUGCAUUUUUUUUAAAAAAAAAUGUGUUGUUUUUCAGUGUUUAAUGGAAGAGCAUUCUUGUCUCUGCAAUGUGCUUGGAAAGUGCGGAAAUGCAUUAGACAGUCGCAUAUUUGGGUCCCUCACGGAUACAAGUCUCUCUGUGGGGUUUAGUAUUACUUUGAAGCAUGUUUAGGUUUAUGACCAUCACUAGUUUCUGGAAAAAAUAUUAUUUUUCCUUUCUUUUGAUCUAUGGACUUCUAUGAUUGCAGCUUCUGGUUGUUUAAUUGUUUCGAGGUAGCAGAUUUUUGUGGAAGGAAAAUGGUGUUGUUUUAUAUCUUUUAGCAUUUAUAGUUGUUGUAUUCUUAGUUUCAAUUUCGUUCUCUUUUAACUAUUCUCUCCAACUUAGCUCUUUGGUAGCAUAUUUCUCUCAUUAAUGAAGUUUGGAUUGCCUGUUCGCUUGUCUUUUUAUGUUGUGUCAAGUUAGUGUUAUUUAGCGUUUAUUCAUGUGUCGUGUUAGCGAUUGCUUUGAAUCCCAUGUAUCACAUUUCUGAUUCGUCUGUUUGAUUUCGUGGUUUCUAGAAAAUUUAAAUUUGGUUUAUUGAAAAUAUAUCAUGUUUUGCACUAAAAAUCAUAUAUAUCAUUUUGCUCCUCUAUAGAAUGAAUGCCAUAAAAUCUGGGUUCCUUUUUCUUUCAAACACUCUGCUGACUGAAAUCUAGGAGAAUAACUUUGUUAUCGAAGUAUAUCGAUUUUAAACUUAGGAUUGCUUUAAGAAUCUGUUUGUGAUCCUAAUGGAAGUUCAUGAAAUAGUUUAUUCCCCCCCCCCCCCCCUUUUACCUUAAUUUUGAUAAAAAAUGCUUAUAAAUUUGCCAUCGAGUCGAUAAGGCACAGUCCCCUACAAUUUUCCAGAUCGUAAUUUGCUCCCAUUUAUUACUAUCUACCAUCUCGCCUCUUAUGAGCUGAUGUUAUUUCAAAUCCAUAAACAUCUUGAUUUGGUGUUGAUGGCGAUAGCGAGUGGUUCUCAGUUUAGAAUUUGCUUUUGGCUAAUUGCAGUUCCCUUGGUGUUCGGAGUAGUAGACGGACAUGUAAUUUUUAGGCCUGCCCUUUCAUUUUUUUUCUUUAUUUUUAAAUAUCCUUAGUUGUAUUACCUGAUGCAUUGCAUUUUAUUGGUCGUCUCUAUUGGCGUUUAUUUAUAAAAAUUAUAUGGAAUAAGUCUACACCGUCUCUGUUUUGUUUGCUUUACUCCAAUCUGUUUAGGAAUAGUUCAUUUUCCAUCUUUGAGAUACUUGAUUUGAAGUGGGCCCUUCAUUUAUUUUUAUUGUUUGUUAUUUUUUUAAAUUUUUUUUUGUUUCUCUAUACAUAAUUUGGGUAUUGACCACUUUGAUUAUUUUGUCCUGUAAUAUGACCUUGUACCAUAUUGGUAGACAUAAAUUAUUACAGUUCGUUAGCAUUUCACUUAAUUACUAGUUGAGGUCAAAUUUAAUCUCCUUUUUUUUCUUUGCAUGUGAAAUCAAGUUGAGUUCUGUAAGGACUCAUCCUUUCUCUUUGCAUAUCGAAGAUAUCCAUAAAGGUUUGAAACUUCCUUUAUCGAGAUGGUCAGCCCUCUCAAAACAUGACGUACAGGUCGCGAAACGAAGGGUAGAACUAUAGAAGAAAUAAAGAAGGUGUAGGUGGAACAUAAGAGGUGUCUUGAAGCAAGGCUUGGAAUCUAGACUUUUUCAGGCAAAGUUGAAGUAUGUCCUUACUUGACUCGGGGACAUUACUAUCUUUAGACUUCUUUUAUUCAAAGUAUUGUAAUAGACUAAGUUCUUCUUUAUUUUGAUUGUAUGGGUCGUGUCCCAAGUAUUCUUGAGUCUAAGAUUAGCGUAUGU